rnacentral:tRNA from 1 species
UUUUAUAUAGUUUAAUAUUAAAACAUUAUAUUUUCAUUAUAAAAUUAAUUUUAUAAAAUUUAUAAAAU